rnacentral:rRNA from 1 species
AUUGAACGCUGGCGGCAUGCUUUACACAUGCAAGUCGAACGGCAGCAUGGGUGCUUGCACCUGACGGCGAGUGGCGAACGGGUGAGUAAUGUAUCGGAACAUAUCCGCAAGUGGGGGAUAACGUAGCGAAAGUUACGCUAAUACCGCAUAUUCCCUGAGGGGGAAAGGAGGGGAUCCGCAAGGACCUUUCGCUUACGGAGUGGCCGAUAUCAGAUUAGCUAGUUGGUGAGGUAAAGGCUCACCAAGGCUUCGAUCUGUAGCGGGUCUGAGAGGAUGAUCCGCCACACUGGGACUGAGACACGGCCCAGACUCCUACGGGAGGCAGCAGUGGGGAAUUUUGGACAAUGGGGGCAACCCUGAUCCAGCCAUGCCGCGUGAGUGAAGAAGGCCUUCGGGUUGUAAAGCUCUUUCAGCUGGAAAAAAAUCGCUUCACCUAAUACGUGGAGUGGAUGAUGGUACCAGCAGAAGAAGCACCGGCUAACUACGUGCCAGCCGCCGCUGUAACAC